ACAUAUGCCGCUCUCAACUGAACCAUUUUGCUCAAGUAUUGUGCCAUAUUAAAAGUUGUUUUCAAAUUCUGGCUGCACAUAAGACAUUACGGUUGAAUCUCUCUUCAUUUAAUCUCUACGAUACCAACCAGUAGAUACCAAUUCAUAGAGAUUAGAUGUGGCUGAGACAGAAUGAUUGACCCAAAGUCAUCAUUUUCCAGUUUUCAUGACUGAGCCAUUGUCAUGUGGGAGAAUUCACUGGAGAAAGCAAUUAUGGUUGGAAAGCAGUAAAAGGAAUCUAGGCUGCCAAAAAACAUGGUGGCUGGACACCCUCAAAGCUGUUAUCACCCAGAGCAUAGAACAACUCAAAGAAGUAGUGCAAGAUCAGAAGAUGUGGAGAGACCUGCCCCAUAGAAUCGCCAAGAGCCAGACAUGACUGAAUUGGUAUCAUCAUCAUCAUCAUCAUCAUCAUCAUCAUCAUCAUCAUCAUUAUCAUCUAUAUGACUGUCCAUCUUUCAAACAACUCUGGGCGGCUCCCAAUAAAAUCAUUUCAACUA